AGUGAACGCUGGCGGUAGGCCUAACACAUGCCAGUCGAACGGCAGCACAGUAAGAGCUUGCUCUUACGGGUGGCGAGUGGCGGACGGGUGAGGAAUACAUCGGAAUCUACUUUUUCGUGGGGGAUAACGUAGGGAAACUUACGCUAAUACCGCAUACGACCUACGGGUGAAAGCAGGGAAUCUUCGGACCUUGCGCGAUUGAAUGAGCCGAUGUCGGAUUAGCUAGUUGGCGGGGUAAAGGCCCACCAAGGCGACGAUCCGUAGCUGGUCUGAGAGGAUGAUCAGCCACACUGGAACUGAGACACGGUCCAGACUCCUACGGGAGGCAGCAGUGGGGAAUAUUGGACAAUGGGCGCAAGCCUGAUCCAGCCAUACCGCGUGGGUGAAGAAGGCCUUCGGGUUGUAAAGCCCUUUUGUUGGGAAAGAAAAGCAGCAGGUUAAUACCCCGCUGUUCUGACGGUACCCAAAGAAUAAGCACCGGCUAACUUCGUG
rnacentral:rRNA from 1 species